AUGUGUAAGAACUUCUCACAGCACUAUAAAGAGUUGAGUAUUUUAACUUUUCAAACAAUACGGAAUCUCGACAGCAUACAGGUUAACUCUGUUUCUCUUCAUCACCUCCUUGAAUCUGUCAUCGAUCUUCAGGAUGCAAAUCUGUCACACUUUCAUCAUUGGUCUUUCAUGGAUGGCAUUGGCUUCGGAAGUUUAUGGCUGCACUGAGGAUAUUCCAGAAAAGUGUAUCGAGUUUGGUGGCGCUUGCAGCAGAGAUGCGUGCCAGAACGGGCGCAUGGGUUCAUGUGGGUCAGGUCUCCAUUGCUGCCGUCAGCCGUAAGUCUCUCUCUUUCCGACAAAGAGCACUCAAAAUGAACCCACCCUUUCAAUGAGAACACAACACCAAAGUUUUGUGUAGAAUUAUUGAUAUUUUAAUGUUAGUAAAACCUUUUGAUAUUAAGAUGAUUACAUACUGACCAGAAUCCUCCUAUAAGGGACGUAAAAAAUUGUCACUCAUUAAUGAAGUGCUGGUCGUGUUCCUGAACACAUGCUUGAGGUGUGCAUCCAGGACUGCAACCAACCCCACAGUAAUGAGCGGCAAUGUGCCCCCCCAAGACUUACAUGAUUUCCUCUUUAUGAGUACAACAUGGCAAUAGGAUUAUGGCCAUUGUGUUAUUUGUCCCUUUUUAAAAGUUAUGUUGUAAUUUCAUAACAGUCCCUGGGUAAAGGACAGAAAUAGAGAUGGGCAUGAACUUCUAGUUUGAUGUUUCAUGCUGGGGAUUUUUUUUUAUUUUGGCCAAACAGGUGCUCUGUGCUUCCCAGCCCCACCUCCUCCAAUGGGCACCCACUCUGAGGCUGCACCCUGGCUUCCCUGCCCCAUUUUCUGUGAGUGCUGUCUCUGAGUGGGAGUCCAGCAGAGGAAACAGGACUGAGAAGUCUCACUAUCAUCAACAGCACAAUGUUGGACCAUGACAUUAGGUAGAAAACAUUGUAGAGGAAGUAAAAUGGUAUUGAAUACAAUAGUCACUUUCAGAGCAGAAUGGAAGGCUAAAACCAACCAACCAACCAACCAACCAACCAACCAACCAA
rnacentral:lncRNA from 1 species